AUUAAAAACAAUCACAUAAUAAACGCAUGAAAUCUAUUGCAUUUUAAACUCAAUCGAACCUCUCUCCUCUCUGCGUCUUGGGUGAGUUUUCGUCGUGAUGAGGUUGAGUUUUGAGCUCACUCGUUUCAAAGUUUUCUAUUGGGAAAAAAAACUUUGAACAAGUUUGGUUUUUUGGAGCUUUAAUGAGGGUUUUUUGGAUCAUUUUCUGCAGUGUAACAGCGUUCUUCACAGGGUUUUUUCUUCCAAUGAUUAGAUGUCUCUUAUAUAGAGUCGAAAUGGGUGGUCCUUCAAUCAUGAGCUGGAAGGGGUGAAAGGAAUCAUUCCUUUAGAAUUGGAUUUCUCACAGAUCUGGUGUGGUCCCCUCAAAAAUGAAAGUGGUAAGAAACGAAAUUGUUUAUGGUGAAAUCUCUCCAAACGCGUGGCCACUUUUGCUGAAUCCUUCAUUGAAUUCUUACUGCUGUGAAACCUGUACUUGCUGUGGUAAGAAGCUGAUUCUUACUGCCAUGAAAGUUGAGUUUUAAAUGGUUAUGUGCAUGCUGGUUUGGUAUGUCAUGAUGCUUGCCUCUUCUAUGUCUAAAUUGAUUUAUCAUUCAUUUUGGUAAUCCUCUGUGCGGUUAUGGCGACAGCGUGGCUUUGAACAACUUGUUUCCUUUUUGCAGUUUGCAGUCUUAACAACAGAGUCUUCUAAUUUUGAAGAUUGUCAAAGUUACUCUUGAAAGAUCAUAUUCUGCAUAUAGAAUUUUUGAUCCUGAUAUCCUAAAACCUCUUCAUUUUAGACAGGUUGUGAUUAGCAUUCCCUUGUGCCAAUCAUGCGGAUGAUACUAAGGUGACUCUUAAUUGAUGGAUGCUUUCGGUUGUAAACAUGUUCUAACAGAUGAUUUUUUAAAGAAAGAGGCAUCAUUCCCUCCAAUCCUUUUCAUUCAUCAUUCCUUGGACCAAUGGAAAUGGAGCAUUUGCCGGCACCCUCUGCGGAUCAUGGCAUUUUGGAAUCCCUUGAGCAUACAUGGAUGAGCUUCCUCUUCAAGAUGCUCAUUCUGUCUUUCUUCCUGCCUCAAAUUAUGUAAUAAUGCUUCAAAAAGUGUAUUGAAGCUGCAUACAUGAUAUGUUUUUUUAAACAUUUGUAACAAAAUCCGGGAAUUGAAUAGUACUUAUACGUUAGCAAGGAAAUAAACAUGGGCUCUUACUAUCA